CUAAAAUCAAGAGCUUACAGGAGGAUCUAAAUACAAAAUUUGAAAAAUAGAGUAUCUGAAAAUAGAACCAAUUUCUGCCAUAGUGAAAAUCUCUCUGCAAAUAGAAUCUUCCCUGAAAGCCCCAAAUGGAAACCAAGUAAUAGCAGAGCUGCUUUGGGAGAAGAAUGUCAAUUUCCCUUCUUUCAAGAUAUGUCUCCAAAGGCAAAGGAAACAAAAGCGAAAAUAAA